rnacentral:tRNA from 1 species
GGAGAGUUGGCAGAGCGGUAAUGCGGCAGCCUGCUAAGCUGUACAUCGUUAAAUCGGUGCAAAGGUUCAAAUCCUUUACUCUCCG